UCGCGGUUGAGUGGGCGACCGAGCUGC
rnacentral:sRNA from 1 species